AGCUUGCUUCAGAUGACGACCGGCGCACGGGUGCGUAACGCGUAUACAAUCUACCUUUUGCUGAGGGAUAGCCCAGAGAAAUUUGGAUUAAUACCUCAUAGUAUACAUUAGUCUCAUGAGUUAUGUAUUAAAGGUUACGGCAAAAGAUGAGUAUGCGUCCUAUUAGCUAGAUGGUAAGGUAACGGCUUACCAUGGCCACGAUAGGUAGGGGCCCUGAGAGGGGGAUCCCCCACACUGGUACUGAGACACGGACCAGACUCCUACGGGAGGCAGCAGUGAGGAAUAUUGGACAAUGGAGGCAACUCUGAUCCAGCCAUGCCGCGUGCAGGAUGACUGCCCUAUGGGUUGUAAACUGCUUUUAUACAGGAAGAAACACCUCUACGUGUAGAGGCUUGACGGUACUGUAAGAAUAAGGAUCGGCUAACUCCGUGCCAGCAGCCGCGGUAAUACGGAGGAUCCAAGCGUUAUCCGGAAUCAUUGGGUUUAAAGGGUCCGUAGGUGGAUAAUUAAGUCAGAGGUGAAAGUUUGCAGCUCAACUGUAAAAUUGCCUUUGAUACUGGUUAUCUUGAAUCAUUAUGAAGUGGUUAGAAUAUGUAGUGUAGCGGUGAAAUGCAUAGAUAUUACAUAGAAUACCAAUUGCGAAGGCAGAUCACUAAUAAUGUAUUGACACUGAUGGACGAAAGCGUGGGGAGCGAACAGGAUUAGAUACCCUGGUAGUCCACGCCGUAAACGAUGGAUACUAGCUGUUCGGUUUUCGGACUGAGUGGCUAAGCGAAAGUGAUAAGUAUCCCACCUGGGGGAGUACGUUCGCAAGAAUGAAACUCAAAGGAAUUGA
rnacentral:rRNA from 1 species